rnacentral:rRNA from 1 species
AUUGAACGCUGGCGGCAUGCUUUACACACGCAAGUCGAACGGCAGCAUGGGUGCUUGCACCUGAUGGCGAGUGGCGAACGGGUGAGUAAUGUAUCGGAACAUAUCCGCAAGUGGGGGAUAACGUAGCGAAAGUUACGCUAAUACCGCAUAUUCCCUGAGGGGGAAAGGAGGGGAUCCGCAAGGACCUUUCGCUUACGGAGUGGCCGAUAUCAGAGUAGCGAGUUGGUGGGGUAAAGGCCUACCAAGGCGACGAUCUGUCGCGGGUCUGAGAGGGUGGACAGCCACACUGGGACUGAGACACGGCCCAGACUCCUACGGGAGGCAGCAGUGGGGAAUUUUGGACAAUGGGGGCAACCCUGAUCCAGCCAUGCCGCGUGAGUGAAGAAGGCCUUCGGGUUGUAAAGCUCUUUCAGCUGGAAAAAAAUCGCAUCACCUAAUACGUGGUGUGGAUGAUGGUACCAGCAGAAGAAGCACCGGCUAACUACGUGCCAGCAGCCGCAGUAAAAC